rnacentral:rRNA from 1 species
CCUACGGGAGGCAGCAGUGGGGAAUAUUGGACAAUGGGGGCAACCCUGAUCCAGCCAUGCCGCGUGUGUGAAGAAGGCCCUCGGGUUGUAAAGCACUUUCAGUGAGGAAGAACGCCUGGUGGUUAAUACCCAUCAGGAAAGACAUCACUCACAGAAGAAGCACCGGCUAACUCCGUGCCAGCAGCCGCGGUAAUACGGGGGGUGCGAGCGUUAAUCGGAAUUACUGGGCGUAAAGCGCGCGUAGGUGGCUUGAUAAGCCGGUUGUGAAAGCCCCGGGCUCAACCUGGGAACGGCAUCCGGAACUGUCAAGCUAGAGUGCAGGAGAGGAAGGUAGAAUUCCCGGUGUAGCGGUGAAAUGCGUAGAGAUCGGGAGGAAUACCAGUGGCGAAGGCGGCCUUCUGGACUGACACUGACACUGAGGUGCGAAAGCGUGGGUAGCAAACAGGAUUAGAUACCCCGGUAGUC